AGAAGGUGAUAACGUGAACUAGUGUUUUAAGAAGCAAUUUUGUUCUUGGCUUUUUUCAACGGCUUUCGCCACCUUGGUCUCCCGAGUAUACUGGAAUUGCAGGUGCAGUAGCUGCUCAACUUGAAAGCUCAAUUCAAAGUCAGCUGUUGCAUCAGGAGAAUAGUCCAUCAACUUUCGUACAAAUGCAAUGGAAUUCUUGUGAUUACUGGAAGAGCUGGCCGAGAAAUUUUAUCAAAUGUGUUAUGCUGCCAAAAUUUGGCACUAUUGAAAAUGUCAACGGCCAUACCACGCUGACAACAUUAGUUCCCAUUCGAUCACUAAGUCAAGCAGCGCUGGGCACGGUUAGUACUUGGACGGAUGAACCCGCUUUUAGGAAUACCGUGUGCAACCAGAUCCAAGUAUGCGUCCGGUCCUAUGGGACCCCCAAGUCUAUUGGCUCACAAAGCCAUUUGCUCACUUCACCAAUCAUGUCCUGCUCAGGAAUAUAGGGCAAAUAUCCGCAGCCCAACUCUCCCCAAUAACACUUAUACCUCCAAACACGUGAGAUGUUUUCCCACCUCAUUUUCAAUAGCCCCAUUCGGA
rnacentral:lncRNA from 1 species